UGCGUAGACGGUAGCGUAAGUCAGAUGUGAAAGCCCCGGGCUCAACCUGGGAAUUGCAUUUGAGACUGCUCUGCUCGGGUGCGGAAGAGGGAAGCGGAAUUUCCGGUGUAGCGGUGAAAUGCGUAGAUAUCGGAAGGAACACCAGUGGCGAAAGCGGCUUCCUGGUCCGACACCGACGUUCAGGCACGAAAGCGUGGGGAGCAAACAGGAUUAGAUACCCUGGUAGUCCACGCCAUAAACGAUGAGAACUAGACGUUGAGAGGGUAAGCCUCCCAGUGUCGUAGCUAACGCGCUAAGUUCUCCGCCUGGGGAGUACGGCCGCAAGGUUGAA
rnacentral:rRNA from 1 species